UCCCGUGUGGCUCAGUUGGUAGAGCAUGGUGUUUGCAACACCAGGGUUGUGGGUUCGAUUCCCACGUGGGAC
rfam:Salmo salar isolate Sally breed double haploid chromosome ssa16, whole genome shotgun sequence.